UACGUAGGGGGCAAGCGUUGUCCGGAUUUAUUGGGCGUAAAGAGCGUGUAGGCGGCUAGAUAGGUCCGUUGUGAAAACUCGAGGCUCAACCUCGAGACGUCGAUGGAAACCAUCUAGCUAGAGUCCGGAAGAGGAGAGUGGAAUUCCUGGUGUAGCGGUGGAAUGCGCAGAUAUCAGGAAGAACACCCGUGGCGAAGGCGGCUCUCUGGAACGCAACUGACGCUGAGACGCGAAAGCGUGGGGAGCAAACAGG
rnacentral:rRNA from 1 species